rnacentral:lncRNA from 1 species
AGUAAUUGUCAUUGUGGUAGCUAGUAGUAGUAGGAGCAGGAGUAGUAAUAGUAGGAGUAGUAACUGUCAUUGUGGUAGCUAGUAGUAGUAGGAGCAGUAGGAGGAGUAGUAAUAGCAGGAGUAGUAAUUGUCAUUGUGGUAGCUAGUAGUAGUAGGAGCAGGAGUAGUAAUAGUAGGAGUAGUAACUGUCAUUGUGGUAGCUAGUAGUAGUAUUAGUAGGAGUAGGAGUAGUAAUAGUAGGAGUAGUAACUGUCAUUGUGGUAGCUAGUAGUAGGAGGAGUAGGAGUAGGAGUAGUAACUGUCAUUGUAGUAGCUAGUAGUAGUAGUAGCAGUAGGAGGAGUAGUAAUAGCAGGAGUAGUAAUUGUCAUUGUAGUAGUUAGUACUAGUAGUAGUAGUAGCAGUAGGAGGAGUAGUAAUAGCAGGAGUAGUAAUUGUCAUUGUAGUAGUUAGUAGUAGUAGUAGCAGUAGGAGGAGUAGUAAUAGUAGGAGUAGUAACUGUCAUUGUAGUAGCUAGUAGUAGUAGUAGCAGUAGGAGGAGUAGUAAUAGUAGGAGUAGUAAUUGUCAUUGUAGUUAGUAGGAGUAGGAGUAGGAGUAGUAAUAGUAGGAGUAGUAACUGUCAUUGUAGUAGCUAGUAGUAGUAGUAGCAGUAGGAGGAGUAGUAAUAGCAGGAGUAGUAAUUGUCAUUGUAGUAGUUAGUAGGAGUAGGAGUAGGAGUAGUAAUAGUAGGAGUAGUAAUUGUCAUUGCAGGAGCAAUAGUCACAAUAGUGGCACGAGUUGUAGGACUUCCAAUCAUUAUAGGAACAGUCGUAGCAGCCGUAGUUAU